CAGAAAGCAUAAAUCUGAUUUUGAAUUUAAAAAAGUAUCAAAUGAAAAUGUUGAAAAUUUUUUGAAUAAAAUAAACAUAAAGAAGGCUACAGGAGCUGAUGGUAUUCCAGCAAAAAUAGUGAAAAAUUGUAAAUCUUAUAUUGCACCACAGCUGACAACUCUUGUAAAUUUGUCAAUUGAUAAUAAUUGUUUCCCCGAUAAACUUAAAGAAGCCCAAGUGACCCUCCUUCAUAAAAAAGUGACCCA
rnacentral:lncRNA from 1 species